rnacentral:rRNA from 1 species
UACGAAGGGGGGCUAGCGUUGCUCGGAAUCACUGGGCGUAAAGCGCACGUAGGCGGAUCGCUAAGUCAGGGGUGAAAUCCUGGAGCUCAACUCCAGAACUGCCUUUGAUACUGGCAAUCUCGAGUCCGGGAGAGGUGAGUGGAACUGCGAGUGUAGAGGUGAAAUUCGUAGAUAUUCGCAAGAACACCAGUGGCGAAGGCGGCUCACUGGCCCGGUACUGACGCUGAGGUGCGAAAGCGUGGGGAGCAAACAGG